AGGAUGAACGCUGGCGGUCUGCUUAACACAUGCAAGUCGAACGGAGUACCUCGGUACUUAGUGGCGGACGGGUGAGUAACGCGUGAGAAUCUGCCCUUAGGUCGGGGACAACCAUUGGAAACGAUGGCUAAUACCGGAUAAGCCGAGAGGUAAAAGAUUAAUUGCCUAGGGAAGAGCUCGCGUCUGAUUAGCUAGUUGGUGAGGUAAAGGCUCACCAAGGCAUCGAUCAGUAGCUGGUCUGAGAGGAUGAUCAGCCACACUGGGACUGAGACACGGCCCAGACUCCUACGGGAGGCAGCAGUGGGGAAUUUUCCGCAAUGGGCGAAAGCCUGACGGAGCAAGACCGCGUGAGGGAGGAAGGCUCUUGGGUUGUAAACCUCUUUUAGUAGGGAAGAAGCGAAAGUGACGGUACCUGCAGAAAAGCACGGCUAACUACGCGCCAGCAGCCGC
rnacentral:rRNA from 1 species